rnacentral:misc_RNA from 1 species
UUAAGUUCAGCGGGUAAUCCUACCUGAUUUGAGAUCGAACGUUCAAAAGCUGUCUUCGCUGAGGAAAGACUUUUGUUAGCCCCAGCGAACCUCCGUUGCCGAAGGUUACCUGGCAGACGGCCACAAGCGUAGAUAGUUAUCACACCCGUGACGCCACCAAACACUGGCGAGCUGAUCCAUUUGAGAGGAGCCGACCGCAG